rnacentral:rRNA from 1 species
UAUGUACUAUUUUCUUUAGUACGAAAGGACCAAGAAAAUAGGACCAAUGCUCACAGUAAGUCCUCCCCACAAGAAAUCAUAUCAAACCAAUAGUACCCACCCCACCCCAAAAACAGGGCC